rnacentral:rRNA from 1 species
ACUCAAAUGAAUAGACGGGGGCCCGCACAAGCGGUGGAGCAUGUGGUUUAAUUCGACGCAACGCGAAGAACCUUACCUGGGCUCGAACGGCUCGUGACGGUAGCUAGAAAUAGUUACUUUCCCGCAAGGGACUAGAGUCGAGGUGCUGCAUGGCUGUCGUCAGCUCGUGUCGUGAGAUGUUGGGUUAAGUCCCGCAACGAGCGCAACCCUUGUCCUGUGUUGCAACCCGCAAGGGGCACUCUCAGGAGACCGCCAGCGAUAAGUUGGAGGAAGGUGGGGAUGACGUCAAGUCAUCAUGGCCUUUAUGUCCAGGGCUACACACGUGCUACAAUGGGCGGUACAAAGCGCCGCAAACCCGCGAGGGGGAGCAAAUCGCAAAAAACCGUUCUCAGUUCGGAUUGCAGGCUGCAACUCGCCUGCAUGAAGCUGGAAUCGCUAGUAAUGGCAUAUCAGAACGAUGCCGUGAAUACGUUCCCGGGCCUUGUACACACCGCCCGU